ACUGCAUUCCAUCCUGGGCAACAGAGCAAGAGUCUGUCAAAAUAAAAAAGAAGAAAAAAAGAAGAAAGAUUUUAAUUAUUUUUAUCAACAAUUAUACAUUUUCAGUCUACUGUUAUGAAUUGCCACAACUUGGAGGCUUAGAACAACACAAAUUAGUACUCUCACAGUCCUGAAGGCUACAGCUCUGCAAUCAAGAUAUCAGCAAGGCCAUCAUUCCACUAAGGCUCUAAGGAAGAAUCCAUUUUUGCCUCUUCCUGCUUCUGGGAUGCAUCCACUUUAUUAGACGGCAAACUAGAAAAUGCUUCCUACAGUCGCCACAUAAAAAGAAUUAUCAUCAUGCCAAACAAAUUAUCAUCGGUGCCAAUGAUGUGAGAAUUGAGCAGAAAGAGCAAUGCAACAGGUUUUCUUUUCUGGCCAUGCCAAGGUGGAAGGUGAUCUUAAUUGAAGAAAGAAUGCUCAAAGCAAUGCUAUGUCUUAUCAACAAAUACUUACCAGCAUGUACAUUGCUGCUCAGAAACACAUUUGAUGAUGGAUCAGAAGUUUCCUCCUAUUUAAUGUGGUGAUAAAAAUAACUUCUAAGUAAUUCAGUUCAUAGAACCAUGAAGGACUGGGUUUGAGAUUAUGCUUUGAAUACCAUAAAGUGAUGAACACAGAGACUGAGAAAAAAAGAGGAGGAGAAGGAGUGGAAGGAUAAAUGUAUGUAAGAAAAAAAGAAGCAAAUAAAUAUUAUAGCUGAUUCUUUCUUCAUAA
rnacentral:lncRNA from 1 species